AGAACUGCAGCUGCGAGGACUCCUGGGUGAGAUGAGGCAAGUGUGGGGCACUGUAGGUGGAGUAGCAGCCGAAGAGGUAUGAAAGCUUUAUUGACGUAUGAUUGAAAAAGGAAAAUUGUGUAGAUCUAAGGUGUACAAUGCUAUGAAUACAUGGUUUCAGGCCUCAUGUUUAAGUCUCUGGUAGUUCUUUAUAGCAAUGCAAGAACGGACUAAUACACCUGGACACUGAUCUCAUCUGGUGAAAGACUGUGGGUAAUCAAAGCAUUUCUGCGGAGUGGUUGCAAGGCAUGCCUGCGACGAGACAGGUUGUUGGCAGUGAGUGAGUGUAGCAUUGUUCUUUCUCAAGAUUGCUUUAGCUGUCUUCUUGAUCUUGUGGUUCCAUGUAAAUUUUAUGGUUUCAUACAAUUUUUAAUAUUACUUUUUUUGUUUCUGUAAAUAAAUGUCAUUGAAAUUUUAACAGAGAUUGCAUUCAGUCUGUAAAUUGCUUUGGGUAGCAUGGACAUUUUAACAAUAUUAAUUGUUCCAGUCCAUAAACAUAGGACAUCUUUCCAUUUAUUUGUGUCUACUUCAAAUUCUUUCAUCCACGUUUUACAGUUUUCAGUGUACAGAUUUUUCACCUCCUUUGUUAAAUUUAUUCUUUGUUACUUUAUUCUUUCUGACACUGUUGUAAAUGGAACUUUAUAAAGAAUAAUAUGUUUCGGGUGUUUAUUAAAUAUAGAAACACAGCUGA
ensembl:lncRNA novel transcript